rnacentral:rRNA from 1 species
UUUAACGGCCGCGGUAUUUUGACUGUGCUAAGGUAGCAUAAUCAUUAGUUUUUUAAUUGAAAGCUGGAAUGAAAGGUUUGAUGAAAAAAUAACUGUCUCAACUUAAAUAUUUUGAAUUUUAUUUUUAAGUUAAAAAGCUUAAAUUUUUAUAAAAGACGAGAAGACCCUAUAGAGUUUUAUAUUUUAUUUAUAAGAUUAAAAAUGGGAAUUUAAAUUUAUUUUAUUAUAAAAUAUUUAAUUGGGGUGAUUGAAAAAUUUAAUUAACUUUUUUUAAUUAAAAUUCAUAGAUAAGUGGGUAUCUUGAUCCUUUUUUUAAGAUUAAAAGAAAAAUUACCUUAGGGAUAACAGCGUAAUUUUUUCUAAGAGUUCUAAUCGAAGAAAAAG